GGCUUGGUAGCUCAGUAGGAAGAGCGGGUGAGUGAAGUUCACCGCGUCGGGGGUUCGACUCCUCCCCAAGCCA
rnacentral:tRNA from 1 species